AAGCGGAUCUCUUAAAGCCGUUCUCAGUUCGGACUGUAGGCUGCAACUCGCCUACACGAAGCUGGAAUCGCUAGUAAUCGCGGAUCAGCACGCCGCGGUGAAUACGUUCCCGGGCCUUGUACACACCGCCCGUCACACCAUGAGAGUUGGAGAUACCCGAAGCCUGUGAGCUAACUUUUAGAGGCAGCAGUCGAAGGUAGAAUCAAUGAUUGGGGUGAAGUCGUAACAAGGUAUC
rnacentral:rRNA from 1 species